CCCUUAGACGUUCUGGGCCGCACGCGCGCUACACUGACCAGUGCAACAAGCAUCCGUCCUUGGCCGACAGGCUCGGGCAAUCUUUGAACGCUGGUCGUGAUGGGGAUAGACUUUUGCAAUUUUCGGUCUUCAACGAGGAAUUCCUAGUAAACGCAAGUCAUCAACUUGCAUUGAUUACGUCCCUGCCCUUUGUACACACCGCCCGUCGCACCUACCGAUUGAAUGGUCCGGUGAAGCCUCCGGAUUGGCGCGCACCUCGGUGCCGCCGAGAAGUUGGCUAAACCUUACCAUUUAGAGGAAGGUGAAGUCGUAACA
rnacentral:rRNA from 1 species